UACGGAGGGGGCUAGCGUUGUUCGGAAUUACUGGGCGUAAAGCGCGCGUAGGCGGCUUUGUAAGUUAGAGGUGAAAGCCCGGGGCUCAACCCCGGAAUUGCCUUUAAGACUGCAUCGCUUGAAUCCGGGAGAGGUGAGUGGAAUUCCGAGUGUAGAGGUGAAAUGCGUAGAUAUUCGGAAGAACACCAGUGGCGAAGGCGGCUUGCCGGAAUGCGAUCGACGGUGAGGGAUGAAAGCUGGGGGAGCAAACGGG
rnacentral:rRNA from 1 species